rnacentral:rRNA from 1 species
CAGUAGCCGCGGUAAUACGUAGGGGGCGAGCGUUGUCCGAAGUUACUGGGCGUAAAGAGCGCGUAGGCUGGUCUUUAAGUGAGUGGUGAAAGGUUCGGGCUCAACCCGGACACUGCCUUUCAUACUGGGGACCUUGAGUGUGGGAGAGGCGAGUGGAAUGGUCGGUGUAGCGGUGAAAUGCGUAGAUAUCGAUCGGAACACCCAUGGCGAAGGCAGCUCGCUGGCCUAACACUGACGCUGAGGCGCGAAAGCGUGGGGAGCAAACAGGAUUAGAUACCCCAGUAGUCCCUGUCUCUUAUAC